rnacentral:rRNA from 1 species
CCUACGGGUGGCAGCAGUGAGGAAUAUUGGUCAAUGGACGAGAGUCUGAACCAGCCAAGUAGCGUGAAUGAUGACUGCCCUAUGGGUUUUAAACUUCGUUUAUAUGGGAGUAAGAUCUUCCGCGUGAGUGUUUUCGUAUCUACGAUAUGAAUCAAGAUCGGCUAACUUCGUUACGUCACCCGCGGUAAUACGGAGGAUACGAGCGUUAUCCGGAUUGAUUGGGUUUAAGGGGAGCGUAGGUGGAUUGUUAAGUCAGUUGUGAAAGUUUGCGGCUCAACCGGAAAAUUGCAGUUGAAACUGGCAGUCUUGAGUACAGAAGAGGAGAGCGGAACUCGUGGUGUAGCGGUGAAAUGCUUAGAUAUCAGGAAGAACUCCGAUUGCGAAGGCAGCUCACUGGACUGCAACUGACGCUGAGGCUCGAAAGUGUGGGUAUCAAACAGGAUUAGAUACCCGUGUAGUC